AUUGAACGCUGGCGGCAGGCCUAACACAUGCAAGUCGAGCGGAUGAGAGGAGCUUGCUCCUCGAUUCAGCGGCGGACGGGUGAGUAAUGCCUAGGAAUCUGCCUAGUAGUGGGGGACAACGUUUCGAAAGGAACGCUAAUACCGCAUACGUCCUACGGGAGAAAGUGGGGGAUCUUCGGACCUCACGCUAUUAGAUGAGCCUAGGUCGGAUUAGCUAGUUGGUAGGGUAAAGGCCUACCAAGGCGACGAUCCGUAACUGGUCUGAGAGGAUGAUCAGUCACACUGGAACUGAGACACGGUCCAGACUCCUACGGGAGGCAGCAGUGGGGAAUAUUGGACAAUGGGCGAAAGCCUGAUCCAGCCAUGCCGCGUGUGUGAAGAAGGCCUUCGGGUCGUAAAGCACUUUAAGUUGGGAGGAAGGGCUCAUAGCGAAUACCUGUGAGUUUUGACGUUACCAGCAGAAUAAGCACCGGCUAACUUCGUGCCAGCCGCCGCGGUAACAC
rnacentral:rRNA from 1 species